rnacentral:lncRNA from 1 species
CUCUUCUCCUACUCUCAGCGGAGCGGGUGGAAGCUUGAUUUCAUGCCGUUUAUUUUACUUUGACUGUUUUCAAACCUAUCAAGUUAAUAUUGUUAAUUAUAGAAAACGUGGGGGGAAAAGGGAAAAGAUAGGUAGAAAAUGAUUCUUAGCAUCCCCAAGCAUCUUUAACCUUUCAUUAUGUUUACUUCCAGCCUUUUUCAUGAAACAAAAUUGUGGUCUGACUGUAUACAGUGGUAUUAACUACAAAGAUUCCUAAGAAGGGACAAAAAGCACCUUUUAGCUUCAAGGCUAAUUUAGAGGAACAGGUAGAAGAGGAAAAGUUCAAACAAUGGACAAAAUGAGUGAUUCGUCCACGGUAUCUAAUCACUGUUCACAUCAUCCGGAGGAAACGGGCUCAGAGUCAUGCCCAAGGCCGCGCAUAAAAGAGUGGCAGACUGGGGUUUCAAACCCAGGCUCUAAACUGUGAACCUGCAAGAUGGUGGGAGUGGGGAAGACAGUGAAAAGUUGUGCAGGGAAUUCACAGAACUACAGAACCCACUUUGUACUUCUGGAACUGCUGAGUGGGGAACUAGUUCUAAGGAACAAGGUUAGUGCCCCAGCAGUUGGAGCAGUUUGGUGAGAGAGUGGCACAAAGCUGACACUGGUACAUGGCCCUGGCCACUAGUUGUUAAGUUCCACCCAUCUCCAGCACUGCCCUCCCCAUGAGUGACAGUGAAAGGUGGGAGGGACGUUACAGGACUGUAUCAGGCAUUAGACCUGCUACUCCAAGUGCAGUCUGGUGCAGUCUGCAGGCCAGCAGCCUCCCUGCUGUCCAGCACUUUCCGCAUCACUUGGAAGCUUGAUGGAAAUGCAGAAUCUUGGACCACACUUUAAAGCUUCUGAAUCGGGCGGCAUGCGAUGCCUCAUGCUUGUAAUCCCAGCACUUUGGGAGGCCAAGGUGGGUGGAUCACCUGAGGUCAGGAGUUUUGAGACCACCCUGGCCAACAUGUUGGCCCCGUCUCUACUAAACCCCAUCUCUACUAAAAGUACAAAAAUUAGCCGGGCAUGGUGGCGGGCGCCUGUAAUCCCAGCUACUUGGGAGGCUGAGACAGGAGGAUCGCUUGAACCCGGGAGGCAGAGGUUGCAUUGAGCCAAAACUGUUCCGUUGCACUCCAGCCUGGGCAACCAAGAUGUCCCUUCUUAGGAACCUUUGUAGUUAAUACCACUGUAUACAGUCAGACCACAAUUUUGUUUCAUGAAAAAGGCUGGAAGUAAACAUAAUGAAAGGUUAAAGAUGCUUGGGGGUGCUAAGAAUCAUUUUCUACCUAUCUUUUCCCUUUUCCCCCCACGUUUUUGAAACUCUGUCUCAAAAAAUUUAAAAAAUAAAGCUUCUACAUCAAAAUACGCAUUUUAACUAGGUCCCUGGGUGAUUCCUGUGCACAUUGAAGUUUGAGAAGUGCUGUUGUAAAUAAACUUCACUCCUUAGCCCAGCGAGACCACGAGCCCACCGGGAGGAAUGAACAACUCCAGACGCGCUGCCUUAAGAGCUGUAACACUCACCGCGAAGGUCUGCAGCUUCACUCCUGAGCCAGCAAGACCACGAACCCACCAGAAGGAAGAAACUCCGAACGCAUCUGAACAUCAGAAGGGGCAGACACCAGACGCGCCACCUUAACAGCUGUAACACUCACCGCGAGGGUCCGCGGCUUCAUUCUUGAAGUCAGUGAGACCAAGAACCCACCAAUUCCGGACACACCUGGAUCUCUUUUUCCAGUAUCACUAUCAGUUAAAUCCCGCCUCCCCCCCCCGAAAUUUAUAAUUUUAUAAACAGGCAACCAUGAGAUAUAAUUAGGAAAAACUAGUGACACUGCUUUAUUUGAGAACAGA